rnacentral:lncRNA from 1 species
GAUGUAGACAAAGUAGGGGUUGGAAUAUUAGGCCUAGCAUGCUCUAACGCCUGUUUAUAAGCAUUAUAAACAGUUUGAGCGUUAACUUUAAUUGAUGCUUUCGCAUCAGCUAGUGUAGCAAUUUCUACUUCUGAAAGAUCUAAAGAUUGAUAAAUAUUAGAAUACCAAAAGUGAAGACCUCCUAAUUUCAUAGUUGGAUUUAACAUAGCAAACACACCAAAAAUAGGAGGGAUUGGAAAAAAAUAUUUUUUAAACUUUUUUUUCAUUUCAGUUAUUGCAAGN